rnacentral:rRNA from 1 species
GACGAACGCUGGCGGCGUGCUUAACACAUGCAAGUCGAACGAUGACGACCGAGCUUGCUCGGUCUGAUUAGUGGCGAACGGGUGAGUAACACGUGAGCAACCUGCCCUUCACUCUGGGAUAACCUCGGGAAAUCGGGGCUAAUACCGGAUAUGAGCUCCUGUCGCAUGGCGGGUGUUGGAAAGUUUUUCGGUGAAGGAUGGGCGUGCGGCCUAUCAGUUUGUUGGUGAGGGAGUGGCUCACCAAGGCGAUGAAGGGUAGCCGGCCUGAGAGGGCGACCGGCCACACUGGGACUGAGACACGGACCAGACUCCAACGGGAGGCAGCAGUGGGGAAUAUUGCACAAUGGGCGAAAGCCUGAGGCGGCGACGCCGCGUGAGGGAUGACGGCCUUCGGGUUGUAAACCUCUUUCAGCAGGGAAGAAGCGAAAGUGACGGUACCUGCAGAAGAAGCGCCGGCUAACUACGUG